GUGGCCUCGGCAGCAACACGACAUGAAAUGAGAGCCUCUCGCAGGAGUCCGGGGGGCUUGGAUAUUGAAGAUGCCAGUCCUCAUUCUCCUGAUCUACAAUGAGAAACCACAAGCACAGAACCUCCAGGCCUGUCCCUGCCCGCUGGAGCAUGAAACAUCAGAGGGGGUGGUUGGAGAGAGAUCAAACCAGGAAACAGACCUCGGAGCAAGUUCAUGCCAAGCGAGCUGAGCACGGAGCCUGCUCUCCUUCUCAAAGUGGCCUGGUACAGAAGUCACAGAAGAGCCAUUUGGCUCAAGGCUCGGUGUGACCUCGGGGUGACUGCAGCUGACGCACGUUUCACAGCGACUUCAUCCAGGCCUCACCAAAGCAGGACGUCAGAUAAGACCAAAUGGCUGCCAUUCCCGGCGCGACCAUCCUUUUCCUGGUCUCCUCCGCCUUGGCACAGACUGUUUGGUCAGGUAAGCAAACUUACACGUCUUGGGAGAGAAGCCUCUGGUUUUCUUUAACUUGUAGGAAACAAAGAGAGUCUGGGUGGGAGAUGUUGCUGAAACGUAGACCUUUGGGCUCGACAUGCUAACUGGACAUCAAUGGGGUAUCACUCUUGGAAAAAGGAGUUACUCUGGAAAACCCUACAGUGUUUGAAACGAAAUGCCAUGCUUUACAUAUGCAUUGUCAAGAAAAAGCAAAAGGGCAAUUCAAAAUUAUUUUGAACAUAAAAUCAAACAAAGUGAGCAAAAGUUUAUGUUUAAAGAAGUAUUGUUACCCCUUUGCGUUUCCUUCAGAUCCCGCCUCAUCUUGUAUGUGACAGUCUCACUGGUUUCUACCUUCCCUGCUUUUCUUUUUGCUCAAAUACACGCACAUUUUGUUAGUCCUCCUAUUUUCUUACAUUAAAGAUAGAAUACUAUCGGUACUUGGUUGCAUUUUGCUUUUCCCAGUUUAUAAAUAUCCUGAAAAUCAGCACAUACCAGUUUCACAGGAACCUUCCCCUCUUUCAUACAACUGCAUAAACUUCACUGGGUGAUGUUCAUUCCAACAGUCUUCUGUGUAGGGGCAUUUAGUUUGUUUCCAAUAUUUUACGAUUACAGUGAGGCAAUAAAGAAGUUUAGGCAUAUGCGUUUUUGGAUUGUUGGAGGUGUAUUUUUCAGAACAUAUUCCUUGAAUUGUGAUUCAUAAGUCAAAUGUAAAUGCAGAUCUAGUUUUGUUCAGUACUGCCAAAUUUCACUCCACGAAGUUUGUUCCAAUUUGCUUUCCUGCCAGUAGGAUAUCAAAGUGUCUCUUUCUUGAUAGUUAAUCUGAUAGGUGGGAAAUGGUACUUCAGUAUAGUUUUGAUUAACAUUUUUCUUAUAAUGAGGUCGAAUAUCUUUUACAAAUUUAAGCCAUUUCUGUAACUUUGGAGUGUGUAUGUGUGUAUAUGUGUGUGUGUGUGUGUGUGUGAAUUGCAUAUGCAUGUAUAUUGCCCAUUCAGGAACAGGGCUUUGUAUUUUUCCCUUAGUUUUAAGUAUUCUUUAUAUAUUAGGCAUAUUAGUCCUUUAUCUUGUGACAUGGGUUGCAAAUAUUUUCUUCUAGUUUA